CCAGCUUGCUGGUGUGGAUUAGUGGCGAACGGGUGAGUAACACGUGAGUAACCUGCCCCCUACUCUGGGAUAAGCCUGGGAAACUGGGUCUAAUACUGGAUACGACCGAUGCCUGCAUGGGCUGUUGGUGGAAAGCUUUAGUGGUAGGGGAUGGACUCGCGGCCUAUCAGCUUGUUGGUGGGGUAAUGGCCUACCAAGGCGACGACGGGUAGCCGGCCUGAGAGGGCGACCGGCCACACUGGGACUGAGACACGGCCCAGACUCCUACGGGAGGCAGCAGUGGGGAAUAUUGCACAAUGGGCGAAAGCCUGAUGCAGCGACGCCGCGUGAGGGAUGACGGCCUUCGGGUUGUAAACCUCUUUCACCAGGGACGAAGCUAACGUGACGGUACCUGGAGAAGAAGCACCGGCUAACUACGUGCCAGCAGCCGCGGUAAUACGUAGGGUGCGAGCGUUGUCCGGAAUUAUUGGGCGUAAAGAGCUUGUAGGCGGUUUGUCGCGUCUGCUGUGAAAGACCGGGGCUUAACUCCGGUUCUGCAGUGGGUACGGGCAGACUAGAGUGUGGUAGGGGAGACUGGAAUUCCUGGUGUAGCGGUGAAAUGCGCAGAUAUCAGGAGGAACACCGAUGGCGAAGGCAGGUCUCUGGGCCAUUACUGACGCUGAGAAGCGAAAGCAUGGGGAGCGAACAGGAUUAGAUACCCUGGUAGUCCAUGCCGUAAACGUUGGGCGCUAGGUGUGGGACUCAUUCCACGAGUUCCGUGCCGCAGCUAACGCAUUAAGCGCCCCGCCUGGGGAGUACGGCCGCNGGGCUAAACUCAAAGGAAUUGACGGCGGCCCGCACAAGCGGCGGAGCAUGCGGAUUAAUUCGAUGCAACGCGAANAACCUUACCAAGGCUNGGACAUACACCGGAAUCAUUGCANAGAUGUGUGCGUCUUCGGACUGGUGUACAGGUGGUGCAUGGUUGUCGUCAGCUCGUGUCGUGANAUGUUGGGUUAAGUCCCCCANCGAGCGCANCCUCGUUCAUGUNGCCAGCACUUCGGUGGGGACUCAUGGGANACUGCCGGGUCACUCGAGGAAGGNGGGAUGACGCAAUCAUCUGCCCUUAUGNUNGGCUUCCNCUGCUCAUGGCNGGAAAAGGUUGCAAACCNGAGGGANCUAUCCAAAACCGGCUNNUCGAUGGGGUUGAAUCCNCCNUGANCG
rnacentral:rRNA from 1 species